rnacentral:rRNA from 1 species
CCUACGGGAGGCUGCAGUGGGGAAUAUUGCACAAUGGGCGCAAGCCUGAUGCAGCCAUGCCGCGUGUGUGAAGAAGGCCUUCGGGUUGUAAAGCACUUUCAGCGGGGAGGAAGGCGGUGAGGUUAAUAACCUCAUCGAUUGACGUUACCCGCAGAAGAAGCACCGGCUAACUCCGUGCCAGCAGCCGCGGUAAUACGGAGGGGGCAAGCGUUAAUCGGAAUUACUGGGCGUAAAGCGCACGCAGGCGGUCUGUCAAGUCGGAUGUGAAAUCCCCGGGCUCAACCUGGGAACUGCAUUCGAAACUGGCAGGCUAGAGUCUUGUAGAGGGGGGUAGAAUUCCAGGUGUAGCGGUGAAAUGCGUAGAGAUCUGGAGGAAUACCGGUGGCGAAGGCGGCCCCCUGGACAAAGACUGACGCUCAGGUGCGAAAGCGUGGGGAGCAAACAGGAUUAGAUACCCUUGUAGUC